UCUUCAACCGUCCACUUCAAUUCACACGGAUCGCCAUCCCUCUAUCUCUCUCAUAACUCACACAUCUCACAAGCUUCAUCAGACCUUCUCUCUCUCCUUCUCUCUCUCAGGCGACUCAAGAACAUCAACCACCUUCUCUUUCGGGCGACUCAGAAUCAGAGUCAGAAGCUUAAAUGGGCUCAAGGGAAAGCGGGUGAGAAUCGGGUACAUGUUUUGGAGGAGCACUGGUGAGUUUUCGUGGGGAUUUAUGAUGGGUUUAACGGUCCGGAUUCACCGGAUUAUCUGUUGUCGAAUUUGUAUCCUGCUGUCGGUCUUCUUCAUUUGAGUUCUCCCAUGGAGAAAUCUGAUGAACUUCUCCUGCGAGUUCUAAAGUCGUUGCCAUUAGGUUUCUACUCAGAGACAUCUCGGAUUGACACGGUUGAUUAGUGGUUGAGACUAAAAGGUUUCGAUUUGGGUAAAUAACUGGAUCUGGAUUUUCCUUCUUUUUUUCCUUCUUGGUGUCGAUUCGAGCUUCACAGUUUAAUUCCUGAGUUCAGGGGUCCUUAUCAUAAAGCCCAUGAAAAGUCUCUACCAAGUGUAAUCUUAUUUCCCAAAGCCAUCACAUUUUAUGUAACUUGGCUGCUGGUUUGCGAGAGAAGCUGGAUUUUUUUGGGUCUGUAUUACUUGGUCAAAUGGGGUUAUUAGAUUGUUAGUUGACUUAUUGUUAAUGAUAUUGUGGUUUAGACUGAUGAUGCUUUUGCUGAUUUGCUUCAAACCCUAGCUGAUAUGGAUCUGACUUUUACAGUCCUUAAGUGGAGAGUAGCAGAGGUUUGCCAAAGAUUAGAACAGGACCUUGAAAUACUCGGGGUUGCUGCAAUUGAGGACCGUUUACAGGAUGGUGUGCCUGAAGCAAUCUGGAUAUAAAAACAACUCUGUGUGUGUAUGAUUGAUGUUAUUCUGAUUGAUGUCAUAACUUACUUCGUUACAGGGAUCAACAUGUGUUUUCACAGAAGCUAUACUACGCAACUAUGGCUUUCACACUGGCCUCUUCACAUCUCGACACCUCAUUGACGUUUGAGAAAGAUUUCGAUUGAACAGGCCAGUCUUUGAAGCCUUUAAAUACAAUUUAAACAGCGUAUCAUGAUGUCACUUUAUUUGUUCAAAUAUAUUCUUUUUAAGUUGCUAAGUUUUCUUCUGUUUCAGAGAGGACAUAUGCAUAUGAAUAACUGAUGGUUUCUUUGCAUCAUAUAUUAUUGGUGUUGUGGUAACAACACACAUGGUGAUUGGCGGCUUUACAUUCACUAUAGGCUGGUACUCAUUGAGAGUUUGAGACCACGAAUCCAUCUAUUGCUUAAUGAAUAAGGGAUAAUCUUGACAGGUUAUAAAGCUGGAGCUUCAUACACGGAUGAAUGGGUCUAACGGUUCAAACGGGUCAGAUGUGUUGUAGCACUGGGCCAUUCAGUCACGUUUAUUUUCUGUUUUAUUGGGUCUAACGGUUCAAACGGGUCAGAUGGGUUUUGUGAAGCUGUCCAAUGCGGUGAGGUUAAAGGCCCACUUUAAAUACAUCGGCCCUUGUGAAAAACACCUGUUAAAGGCCCUCAAGAGGGCUAUUGGUCUGCUGGAAAGGCACCUGAGAAAGCCCUUUGAUUAGCUUGGGCAGUUUACAUGUUGAUCCGGUUUGCUGUGAAGGCCCAUUCAGGGUUCAAAAAUCGGAAUGUUCAAACCUUUUGGGUGGUGUGGAUGAUCGCGGGGCCGGAAAGCAGGUACUCUGCUCGGAAAGUGAAGAUCAUUAUGUUUGGGCUGCAUUUUAGUUUUAUCCGGCUUGUGAAAUAUAGUUUUGUAAACUUGCUAAAUACUAGGUUUUUGUACAUGCCUAGACUUGGUUGCAUGGUUUUUAUUAUUUUUGGUCUCCCGAAGCAUGUUUUGGGAGACGAUACGGGGGAAUGCCCCUUUGGAUGAUGUAUUUUUUUGUUGUUUUGUGGUUAUACAUUUGCCGGGCUUUGCCCUUUAUCCAAAAAAAAAAAAAAAAAA